GUAGGCCGAGAGCGUUGUUCGGAAUUACUGGGCGUAAAGAGUGUGUAGGCGGUGUUCCCAGUCUGCUGUGAAAUCUCCCGGCUUAACUGGGAGGGUGCGGCGAAUACUAAAGUGCUAGAGGAUGGGAGAGGAAAGCGGAAUUCCUGGUGUAGCGGUGAAAUGCGUAGAUAUCAGGAGGAACACCUGUGGUGUAGACAGCUUACUGGACCACUUCUGACGCUGAGACACGAAAGCGUGGGUAGCAAACAGGAUUAGAUACCCUGGUAGUCCACGCCCUAAACGAUGCAUACUUGGUGUGAGCGAUUCAUUUCGUUCGUGCCGGAGCUAACGCGUUAAAUAUGCCGCCUGGGGAGUACAGUCGCAAGGCUG
rnacentral:rRNA from 1 species